UAACUACUCCCUCCGUCCGAAAAUACUUGUCGGAGAAAUGAAUAAAAAUGAAUGUACCUAAAACUAAAAUACGUCUAGAUGCAUCCAUUUCUGGGACAAGUAUUUCCGGACAGAGGGAGUAUGUA
rfam:Triticum aestivum genome assembly, contig: Triticum_aestivum_CS42_TGACv1_scaffold_289414_4AL